AUGGGAUCUUUUCAAUGCUGUGCUCAUAGCCAGUGUGGCUGUGCAGUCUCCUGUGGGGCUUUCGGUGACCAAACCUGGCAGGGAGCUGGGGGCCAUGGGUGCCCACUGGUGGUGUCCAGACCAACCUCGGCAGGCAGAGUUGAGAAGUGUGGAGCCUGGGUCCGCAGAGACCAGCAGCAGAUACCCAGCUUGGAAGAUAUCAGUGUAAGUCAGUGUUUUAGAAACAAACCGACAUUGUUCAACUCUAGGUGGAGGCAGCUGCCUGGGGUCUGCUGCCUGAUGAAGGCUCAGAGCGCGAAGCUUGAAGCCACUUUCUUUUCGUGGAAAGGGAGAUUCCCAAGCACUGAGGUAGUGUUCAAGACACACAGGUUUCAGGUGAACAGUCUCUCAAAGUACACUGCCGAAGAUUCUAAAGAAAUGAAAGGCAAUGACAGCCUCAUCACCUGACUCAAAUCACAUCUGAGUGUUACCCACGUCUUUCCACCACUCCCUGGACUGGGGAAAGGUGGGACUAAGUGACUCCAUGUCUCCGUCUGACUCUGGGAUACUCACAAUGCCCGUGGCUGUGACUGAUCACAGCUUCAUAUGGAUAAAGUAACAAUUUUCUGCACUAAGCUUCUUGUUAUUUCACAAACGAGAAUGUUUUGUUUCAGAAGAAUGAGAGCCUAUUCUGGACUUGAGUUAGAAGAUACCAAAUAUGUAUUAAUGCUCUUUCAGAGAUUCUAUUUGAGAAAAAUAAGCUUUUAUUCUACAAAUGUUUAUUGCUUUCUUUGUAUAGCUCUUCAGGUUAAAAUGAAUAUAAUCCAUAUGCAGCAUUAGACAUUUCACUUUGCCUUAAUACAGCAAUCAUGAACACGUAUCAGCUGCACAGAAGGAAGCCUACUUGUAUUCCAGUUGAUGGAAUGUACUAUAAAUUGGCUUUUGUUUUACUUAUAAAUUUGUUAUAGAGAUAUUUAUUGGGCACACAUAUAACUGGUACUGGUAUCAUUGCUCUGCCAAAGUGUUUUGUUUAUUUUUAGUGAAAUCAUGGAUAUAUUAGAAUUAAUUCAAUUGUAGUUAAUUAAACAUCCACAAUAAUCUUUCUACUAUGGUGUACUGAUUGAUUUUUAACAGUAGGGUCUCUGAAGAUUAUUAUUAGUUAUACUGAUAUAAAGGCCAUAUAGCACCUAAUUUACAAAUUAUAAUUUACAAUAUCCAUUAUUUUAAAUUUUAUAUCGCCAAUUUAUUUUGAGUUUACACCUUUAAUUUCAGUGUGACUUACUAUGUCUUGCAAAUUCCACUAUCGGUUUUUAUAAUUUUUAUCAACAACAAUUGUGUCACAAAAUCAGACACUGAUAAAUGCUUGAUACUUAUUGGAUUCAGCAACAAAGCUGCUACAUCCCUCAAGAAGACUUACGGUUCUGACACAAAUAAUAGUUGAUACUUUCAUUUAUGUUAACAAGAAAAAUGAAAAUGAAACAACUAACGUGUAUCUUGGAACUGUAUUGCAUUCAUCAAUGCUAUCAGGGACUUCUUUCCUGAAUUAGAUAAUAGUUUUUGAACAAUGGAAAGUUAUUUAUUCUCUCAACACUUGUGCUAUUGACAAUGAAAUGGCUAUAAACUCAAAAUACUUUUAAGUUUAAUUUACAUUUUAAACUUUUUCUCCAUUACUUUCUUAAGUCUAACCAAUCAACAAAAUAAUCAAGUCCUGAUUUCUAGUGUGUGCCUAUUUCUCUGGUGUAAACACCUCCACUGUAGCUGGUUUCAAGCUUCCAAUGUCAUAUCACCAAAUGUGGAGUUGCACACCAUUGUAUAUUAUUUCCUUUAAGAACAUACAUAAUAGUAAAAUGUAGUAAAAUAACUUGGAAGUGAUGAGUUUAGAUUAUUGAUUACAUUUGCUUUUAUUAUCAUUUAUUUAAUUGCCAGUUUUCACAAUUUAAUUUUUAGUAAUGACUGUGUUUAACCAUCAGUGAUUCCUGGAAAUUUAACAAUUGCCUCUUUUGAGCCCAGAAAAGGAAGCUUCAGCGUGCACUAUAUGUUCAUCCUAACCCUUCAGUGCUAGAUCCAAGGGACAGGGAGGCAAAAUAUUAUCAGUACCAUAUCCUUUCCCUGUGCAUCUCAUUUUAUUAACUUUAUUGCUGCCACCCUGGCUACCUUUUUGCUGCACAAACACCCUAAGCUCAUUCCCACCACAGAGCUUCUGAAUUUACUAUUUCCUGGCCCAGAGCAUCCCUAUUUUCAAAUAAAUGACUAUACUUUAUUAAACAGAGCUUUGCUAAAAUAAAUUUUUUAUGAAUACAUAAUAGAUGUAUAUAUUUUGGGGGUACCUGUGAUAAUUUGAUACACUCAUAUGAUGUGUUGAGAUCAAAUCAAGGUAACUGGGAUUUUCAUCACCUUAAAUGUUUAUCUUUUCUUUAUGGCAGGAACACUCAAGUUAUGAUCUUACCGCUAUUUUGAAAUGUACAAUAGAUUAGUGUUAACUAUAGUCAUUCUCCUGCCCUGUUGAACAUUAGGUCUUCUUUCUGCUAAUGGUAUUUUUGUACCCAUGAAUCAACCUUUCUUAUUCCCCCUUUCCCUCAUCCUUCCUGGCCUCUGGUUAUCACCAAUUUAGCUCUCUCUUAUACACCUACCCUACACAAUCACACGAGUUAUGGUCAAUUGUUCCCAUUUGAAAAUGUAAGUUCAAUGUUGUCAUAUUUUCUGUUUCCAGAAACCUGGAUUUGUACAUGAAAUCUCACAAUUAAGGAAAACAAUGCUGCCCAAAUCCAUGAUUUCCUUGGGCCAUAUUUAGCCUGUGAUAUUACAAUGUUCAAUCCCUAUUGAUAGUAUCCACAACUGACCCCACUGGUCUGACAAGCAUCGUGAUAUUCGUGGUCACAUCAUUGGAGGGAGGCUGGAGGAGAAAGGACAUUGUUGAGAAGAGCCACAAUGAGUGUGCUGAGUCAGUGUUGAAGAAGAGGGAACAUAAGUUACUCAUACACACCCAUACAAAAGUAGGGUGCUGUGAUGGUGUUGAACAAUGAUGCUGAGUAUUGGGAAUCACCAUCACCUUGCCCUUCUGGGUCCACAGCAGACAUCACUAGCUGAUCGUGGCACAGUCUGUCCCAGAGCACCAGCACAGCCUUAUGAUGCUUCUCACCGUGGCGUGCGGGUGACCAGCCAGCAUGAUGGGGCUCACUUGCCCAGCCUGGUGUAAGCUUAACUCAUACAUCACCUUGUCCAUGAGGCUUUUCUUGCCUUUUUGGAUGUAAUCACUUAUCCAUGUUGGAUUCUGUGCAGAAAGGAGUUAACAAAACCAGCCUGUGACUGUAUUUGCAAAGUUAGCCCUUGGCUGGUGUAAGGUAACAAAUUUUGGGAGGGUUCCCACCAUUUCCUGAUAUGAAUGGCCCACUGUGCCUACCAAACAACAUGCCUUUUGCUGAAUAUCUGCUUUCCUUCUGGGAUCUGGCAUUGUGGCACAUGGUAGGCAGUGGGUACCCAGGUAAGCAGUUCCCAUGAUGCAGCUGAGUCCUUGAGCCUCUAAGGAGCAUCCCUGUAUGCGGCAUUUCACAUGGGUCAUCACGGCUCAUCUCUGGAUGAAUUACACACAUCCUGUGUGACUCCAUGGGAGAGGACUCCGGAAGCUUGCUACUAGUUUCUGUUGAACUCUGCCCCAUGCACUCUUCCUCUUCACCAAUUUUUCUUUGUG
rnacentral:lncRNA from 1 species